rnacentral:tRNA from 1 species
GGGGGAAUAGCUCAGUGGUAAAGUGCAUGCUUGGCCUGCAUGAGGUCCUGGGCUCCAUCCCUAGAACCUCCA